rnacentral:rRNA from 1 species
UACGAAGGGGGCUAGCGUUGCUCGGAGUCACUGGGCGUAAAGCGCACGUAGGCGGAUCUUUAAGUCAGGGGUGAAAUCCUGGAGCUCAACUCCAGAACUGCCUUUGAUACUGGGGAUCUCGAGUCCGGGAGAGGUGAGUGGAACUGCGAGUGUAGAGGUGAAAUUCGUAGAUAUUCGCAAGAACACCAGUGGCGAAGGCGGCUCACUGGCCCGGUACUGACGCUGAGGUGCGAAAGCGUGGGGAGCAAACAGG